rnacentral:rRNA from 1 species
GUUCAAGAGUGCACUUCAUUGUGGCUCUAACCUUUUUCAAUAUACCUUUCACCCUUUUUUAAACCCAAAGCUGUUAUGUGUGCCUCUUUUGAGGUAUAGCAUCUCAGUAGUACGCAUCAUGUGGAUUUUUUUUAUAGUUCACAAGUUGCAUUACCCCCCCCUUUUUUUUUAUUUUAAAUUUAACACUAUAAAAAGUUUUUAGAAUGUAAACCCCCUUUAAAUUAAUAUAACUUUUAACAAUGGAUCUCUUGGCUCUCACAUCGAUGAAGAACACAGUGAAAUGUGAUAAGUAAUGUGAAUUGCAGAAUUCAGUGAAUCAUCGAAUCUUUGAACGCACCUUGCACCUUUUGGUUAUUCCAAAAGGUACACCUGUUUGAGUGUCAUGAAACCCUCUCAUUCCGAUUUUUUAUUAAGUUAAGAAGUUGAAAUGGAUGUUGGGUGUUGCCGUCAUUGGCUCACCUUAAAUAUAUAAGUACUUUUAUUGAAAAAUAAAUGGAUAUACUUGGUGUAAUAUUUAUUAUUCAUUGAGGAGUGUGGUGCCUUAAAAACACUACAGCCAUUUGAACUUUGGUAGAUAGCUUCCAAACCCCAAUAUAUUUAUAUAUUAUAUCUUUUAGACCUCAAAUCAGGUGGGAAUACCCGCUGAACUUAAGCAUAUCAAUAAGCGGAGGAAAAGAAACUAACAAGGAUUCCCCCAGUAACGGCGAGUGAAGAGGGAAAAGCC